rnacentral:lncRNA from 1 species
AUUAUUUGAAGAUGUAUACGAAGAAACAACAUUCUUGAUAAUUAACAUAAAUAUUAUCAUCCACAUUCAGUAUAAUGAAUUAUCUAAUACAUAACUAGAACUAUAAUAAGUUCUCCCUACAUAAACAUCCAUACCAUCACUAGAAAAGUUCAAAUUAAAACCAAAAUUAAGAAGAACAACUAUGGACACUAAAUUCCAUCGAAUUUUUGGAAUAUAAAGGACAUCAUACA